rnacentral:misc_RNA from 1 species
AAUGGGGAGGGCUUGACGCUCUU